AGGAGAUAAAAUUUAGGUUGCUCUAUCUAGUUUGGCAUGGGGAUAGGGAUAAAACCUCUGUACUCUCCUUCUCAGAUCCUUCCUGAUUGUAUACAUUAAGUUAAUCAAUCUGUUAUAUGAACUUCUUCCUAGGUUUGUGCCAGUUAUUUUAUUCUUCAUUGGUCUUGGUGUUAAAAGUUUGCUUUAGUCGCUCCAUUUAGUGCAAUUAAACUUAUAAGCUAGGAAGAGAAUGAAACAAUUGGUGAAUGGGGGACCUAGCGAAGCGGUUUCUUUGCGUCCUCCCCAGUAGCGGUGGCAAAUGGGCGGUUGGGUCGGGUUUGGGUGGGUUAAAAAUGAGUUGAACUGGGUUUCAACCCAACCAUAUUUGAUGCGGGUAAAACCGGGUUGGGUGUUAAAUGGGCUGGUUGGAAAUGGGUUAACCCAUUUUAUAUGUGUAAUAUUUGAUAAAUUUUCCUUCUAUUCAGAUCAUUUAGUGACAUGGCAUUUUAAUUGGACUGAUAUAUACUCUUCAUCCUUAAUGCGGUGAUAUCUUCCUCUCGGAUUCAUCACCAAUAAGGAAAAGGGUUUUAUGUUGCGGACCGUGUUUUGCCACCAUUCACGUGCCAAUUUUGCUAAUAUCAGCCGUGGGACCUUUCAGUAGUCUUGUGGUGCUAACAGAGUGGAUUUAAUAUGACGCGCUCUUAAUCAAGUCGCUACAGGUAGGCAGUUGCUGUCUCAAGGUUCCUCUUUUCUCAGCUGGAAUUGUUUGGUAGCGACGGGUUAACACAACUCGAGGGGCGACUCUUUCCAGCGUAGUAAUGGGAGUAUUUGUGAUACUGAAACCUUUAUCUUAUUUUGUGUGACUUGCUUAGUAGCAUGCGUUGUGAUACCAUCUUCCAUUUUCACUGGCUGAGAGUUCUCCUAUUUCAUUUUUGCUUGUUGAGAAUAUUCAUUGUUAAUUUGGGGCAUAUAGCUUCCUAAGACCUUCCUGUAUUUAUCUUUACUCUUUACAAACUGGGAGGAAAUGGUAGACAUUAUUAUCGAUUUCCAGUAACUGUUGAAGUCAACGAUUACCUUGUAAUCAUAUUUAUCUCAUAGUCCAAUUGUGACAUGUAACUUUGGAUCUUGACAUGUAAGAUUUUGCUCGGUUUUGAAGAAUUCUAUAAAUUCACCUUA